AACAGGAUUAGAUACCCUGGUAGUCCACGCUGUAAACGAUGUCGAUUUGGAGGUUGUGCCCUUGAGGCGUGGCUUCCGGAGCUAACGCGUUAAAUCGACCGCCUGGGGAGUACGGCCGCAAGGUUAAAACUCAAAUGAAUUGACGGGGGCCCGCACAAGCGGUGGAGCAUGUGGUUUAAUUCGAUGCAACGCGAAGAACCUUACCUACUCUUGACAUCCAGAGAACUUUCCAGAGAUGGAUUGGUGCCUUCGGGAACUCUGAGACAGGUGCUGCAUGGCUGUCGUCAGCUCGUGUUGUGAAAUGUUGGGUUAAGUCCCGCAACGAGCGCAACCCUUAUCCUUUGUUGCCAGCGGUUCGGCCGGGAACUCAAAGGAGACUGCCAGUGAUAAACUGGAGGAAGGUGGGGAUGACGUCAAGUCAUCAUGGCCCUUACGAGUAGGGCUACACACGUGCUACAAUGGCAUAUACAAAGAGAAGCGACCUCGCGAGAGCAAGCGGACCUCAUAAAGUAUGUCGUAGUCCGGAUUGGAGUCUGCAACUCGACUCCAUGAAGUCGGAAUCGCUAGUAAUCGUAGAUCAGAAUGCUACGGUGAAUACGUUCCCGGGCCUUGUACACACCGCCCGUCACACCAUGGGAGUGGGUUGCAAAAGAAGUAGGUAGCUUAACCUUCGGGAGGGCGCUUACCACUUUGUGAUUCAUGACUGGGGUGAAGUCGUAACAAGGUAACC
rnacentral:rRNA from 1 species